rnacentral:rRNA from 1 species
GAUGAACGCUAGCUACAGGCUUAACACAUGCAAGUCGAGGGGCGGCGGGGGAGAAAGUUCGCUUUUUCCUGCCGGCGACCGGCGCACGGGUGCGUAACGCGUAUCGAACCUGCCUCGUACUCAGGAACAGGCUCCUGAAAAGGAGAUUAAUGCCUGAUGGUCUCUUAGGAUUACAUGGUCUUGGGAGUAAAGAUUUAUCGGUACGAGAUGGCGAUGCGUCCCAUUAGAUAGUAGGCGGGGUAACGGCCCACCUAGUCGACGAUGGGUAGGGGUUCUGAGAGGAAGGUCCCCCACAUUGGAACUGAGACACGGUCCAAACUCCUACGGGAGGCAGCAGUGAGGAAUAUUGGUCAAUGGACGAGAGUCUGAACCAGCCAAGUAGCGUGCAGGAAGACGGCCCUCUGGGUUGUAAACUGCUUUUAGUUGGGAAUAUAAAGGAGCACGAGUGCUCCAUGGAAGGUACCAUCAGAAAAAGGACCGGCUAAUUCCGUGCCAGCAGCCGCGGUAAUACGGAAGGUCCGGGCGUUAUCCGGAUUUAUUGGGUUUAAAGGGAGCGCAGGCGGAUGCGUAAGUCAGCUGUGAAAGUUUGAGGCUCAACCUUAAAAUUGCAGUUGAAACUGCGUGUCUUGGGUGCACACAGGGAUGCCCGAAUUCACUGUGUAGCGGUGAAAUGCUUAGAUAUCGUGAAGAACUCCAAUCGCGAAGGCAAGUGUCCGGAGUGCAACUGACGCUGAGGCUCGAAAGUGUGGGUAUCGAACAGGAUUAGAUACCCUGGUAGUCCACACAGUAAACGAUGAAUACUCGCGGUUUGUCCGCUUUAGGAUAAGUCGCCAAGCGAAAGCAUUUAAGUAUUCCACCUGGGGAGUACGCCGGCAACGGUGAAACUCAAAGGAAUUGACGGGGCUCGCAUAAGCGAGGAACAUGGUGGUUUAAUUCGAUGAUACGCGAAGACCUUACUCGGCUGACUGGUGCAGAAGGAGGAAGAGACCUCUUUUCGUUCUUCGGACCUGCAUGA